AUUGAACGCUGGCGGCAUGCUUUACACAUGCAAGUCGAACGGUAACAGGCCUUCGGUUGCUGACGAGUGGCGAACGGGGGAGUAAUGCAUCGGAACGUACCCAGAGGUGGGGGAUAACGCAGCGAAAGCUGUGCUAAUACCGCAUGUGAUCUGAGGAUGAAAGCGGGGGACCGAGCAGCAAUAUUUGGCCUCUCGCCUUUGGAGCGGCCGAUGUCGGAUUAGCUAGUUGGUGGGGUAAAGGCCUACCAAGGCGACGAUCCGUAGCUGGUCUGAGAGGACGAUCAGCCACACUGGGACUGAGACACGGCCCAGACUCCUACGGGAGGCAGCAGUGGGGAAUUUUGGACAAUGGGCGCAAGCCUGAUCCAGCAAUGCCGCGUGCGGGAAGAAGGCCUUCGGGUUGUAAACCGCUUUUGGCAGGAACGAAACGGUGUCCGCUAAUACCGGGCGCUAAUGACGGUACCUGCAGAAUAAGCACCGGCUAACUACGUG
rnacentral:rRNA from 1 species